CCCUUAGAUGUUCUGGGCUGCACGCGCGCUACACUGACACACUCAGCGAGUCUCCUGGCCCGAGAGGGUUGGGUAAUCAAUCAUGUGAGCGUGUGUCGUGAUGGGGAUAGAAUAUUGUAAUUAUUGCUCUUCAACGAGGAAUUCCUAGUAAGCGCGAGUCAGCAGCUCGCGCUGAUUACGUCCCUGCCCUUUGUACACACCGCCCGUCGCUCCUACCGAUGGGGUGAUCCGGUGAAUGAUUCGGACUUCCGCAGUGCUAGCUACUAGCUUUGUGGAAGAAAGUCUUGUGAACCUUAUCACUUGGAGGAAGGAGAAGUCGUAACA
rnacentral:rRNA from 1 species